UAAUAUAAUUCUCACUUCAUAAAAAAAUAAAACUUAAUCCUCUUUUUGCUUCGUCUUCCCAUCAAAAGCCAAAAAUUCAAUAAUCUAGAUCCACGGAGAAAACGAAGGAGGCGAGAUUGAAUCGAAAGAAAACGAAGGAAAUAAAAUUGUUGGCAAAAAGAGAGGAUUUAGAGGGUGACAUUGAAAUCAACAAAAAAUCUCAGCAUUCAAGUAUAAAACCAGAGGAAGUCUUAGCUCUAAAGUAGAUUGUUUGUGGCGAUAUUCUGUUAUAACACCAAAAUUUGAUUCCUUCAACUCUUUUCUUUCCAGGUUUUCCAAUAAUGUUUGAUGUGUAUAGCUCUCAUUAAUAAAUCAUUUUUGCAUACUGUAACAAAUUCUAGAGUUAAAAGGCAUGCCUAAUUCUCCAAAGUUUGUUUUUAUGAAUAAAUCUGAACAGUUUUUA